GACGAACGCUGGCGGCGUGCUUAACACAUGCCAGUCGAACGGAAAGGCCCUGCUUUUGUGUGGUGCUCGAGUUGCGAACGGGUGAGUAACACGUGAGUAACCUGCCCUUCACUUUGGGAUAACUUCAGGAAACUGAGGCUAAUACCUGCUAGGAGCUCCUGCUUCAUGGUGGGGGUUGGAAAGGUUCGGCGGUUGGGGAUGAACUCGGGGCUUAUCAGCUUGUUGGUGGGGUAGUGGCGUACCAAGGCUGUGACGGGUAGCCGGCCUGGGAGGGUGACCGGGCACAUAGGGACUGAGAUAGGGGCAAGACUGAUACGGGAGGAAGCAGUGGGGAAUAUUGGACAAUAGGCGGAGGCCUGAUGCAGCAACGCCGCGUGCGGGAGGACGGUUUUCGGGUUGUAAACCGCUUUGGCCGGUGACGAAGAGUGAGUGACGGUAAUGGGAAAAGAAGCAACGGCUAACUACGUG
rnacentral:rRNA from 1 species